rnacentral:rRNA from 1 species
UACGUAGGGUGCAAGCGUUGUCCGGAAUUAUUGGGCGUAAAGGGCUCGUAGGCGGUCUGUCACGUCGGGAGUGAAAACUCAGGGCUUAACCCUGAGCCUGCUUCCGAUACGGGCAGACUAGAGGUAUGCAGGGGAGAACGGAAUUCCUGGUGUAGCGGUGAAAUGCGCAGAUAUCAGGAGGAACACCGGUGGCGAAGGCGGUUCUCUGGGCAUUACCUGACGCUGAGGAACGAAAGCGUGGGGAGCAAACAGG